rnacentral:tRNA from 1 species
GCUCGCUUGGUGAAAUAAGGUAAACACGGUAGAUUUAAAAUCUGUUCUCUAUUAAAGGGUUACUGGUUCAAAUCCAGUAGCGAGUA